rnacentral:rRNA from 1 species
AUUGAACGCUAGCGGGAUGCCUUACACAUGCAAGUCGAACGGAGUGGCGAACGGGUGAGGAAUGUAUCGGAACGUGCCCAGUGGCGGGGGAUAACUACGCGGAAGCGUAGCCAGUACCGCUUACUAUUGGCGGGGGCGUUAUCGGAUUAGCUAGUUGGUGGGGUAACGGCUCACCAAGGCGACGAGCCGGAGCUGGUUUGAGGGGACGACCAGCCACCCUGGGACUGAGACACGGCCCUGACUCCUACGGGAGGCAGCAGUGGGGAAUUUUGGACAAUGGGGGAAACCCUGAUCCAGCCAUCCCGCGUGUGCGAUGACGGCCUUCGGGUUGUAAAGCACUUUUGGCAGGAAAGCGGUACCUGCAGAAUAAGCACCGGCUAACUACGUGCCAGCCGCCGCGGUAAUAC